AUUGAACGCUGGCGGCAUGCCUUACACAUGCAAGUCGAACGGCAGCACGGGUGCUUGCACCUGGUGGCGAGUGGCGAACGGGUGAGUAAUACAUCGGAACAUGUCCUGUAGUGGGGGAUAGCCCGGCGAAAGCCGGAUUAAUACCGCAUACGAUCUACGGAUGAAAGCGGGGGACCUUCGGGCCUCGCGCUAUAGGGUUGGCCGAUGGCUGAUUAGCUAGUUGGUGGGGUAAAGGCCUACCAAGGCGACGAUCAGUAGCUGGUCUGAGAGGACGACCAGCCACACUGGGACUGAGACACGGCCCAGACUCCUACGGGAGGCAGCAGUGGGGAAUUUUGGACAAUGGGCGAAAGCCUGAUCCAGCAAUGCCGCGUGUGUGAAGAAGGCCUUCGGGUUGUAAAGCACUUUUGUCCGGAAAGAAAUCCUUGGCCCUAAUACGGACGGGGGAUGACGGUACCGGAAGAAUAAGCACCGGCUAACUACGUG
rnacentral:rRNA from 1 species